UACAGAGGUCUCAAGCGUUGUUCGGAUUUAUUGGGCGUAAAGAGCUCGUAGGCGGCUUGUUGCGUCGGCUGUGAAAACCCGCGGCUUAACUGCGGGCUUGCAGCCGAUACGGGCGGGCUGGAGUUCGGUAGGGGAGACUGGAAUUCCCGGUGUAGUGGUGAAAUGCGUAGAUAUCGGGAGGAACACCAGUGGCGAAGGCGACUUCCUGGCCUGUUCUUGACGCUGAGGCGCGAAAGCUAGGGGAGCAAACGGG
rnacentral:rRNA from 1 species